AUGGACUUCAUGUAAUUAUCUCAAGAUAAAGCCCAAAGUUUAAUGGACAAAAUUCUAAGGUUCAAAGUAUGUGAUUCAAUUCAUGUAAAGGCCUUGGAACAUGGUGAUUCAAUUUGGGAUUACAUGAUCUACUCAAGUUUCAUAUAUUGGCAAAAGGCUUUGUAUGCCAUGGAUUAUAUGAACACCAUUCAAGGUUUCAAAUAA